CCUUAACCUACCCGAACCCUAAACCUCUCCCCUCAUACGAUCUUUCUCCUCAUACGGCUGCGCGACAUGGCGCUGAAACCAAACCUUGAUCCCUUCAGGGCCUUCAUCAACAAUCUGCGACUCCUUCCGCUGCCAUCUGCUUCCCCCGAUCAACCCCCUCCCCUACUCCGUUGUCGGCGUCAUCAAGGACCAGCUUCGAGCCCCCUCGAUCGCCGAGAUGGACCGUGGAUCGGCAGCCCAAAACUCCCACCUGGUGGAGGAGGUGUUCCGCGACAUCAAGGGCCGGCGAGCCGCCAUCAUCAGGGCGCUCACCACCGAUUUCAAGGACUUCUAUCAACAAUGCGAUCCCGGAAACAUGCAGGGAGCAAUUCAAGCACUCCGUUUGCACGGGAAUGCCCUUAAGCGAGGUGUUCUCCAACACAUGCGUGUGAACCCAGCGAUGUUACCUGCUGUAUUUUCACGUUUUGAGUCAGUUUCGCCUACACAGUUGGAAGAGCAUGGUUUUGAAAGCACGAUUAUCCGGGAUGUUCUUACAGCUAAGGGAAGAAUGCUGAUGGUUCCGGGCUGUGGUGCACAACUGAUGACACUGUUUAUGAUGCUGUCAAAUCUAUAAAUGGCCAUUGUGUCAAUCUUAUUUGGGAUUACCAUCCAGCUUUAAAUAGUUUUAACUGAUGGCUUAUGCUCUACUGUUUCUAGAUGACACAACACAAUGUUGGAGCUUUAGUGGUGGUGAGACCCGGAGAAGAGAAGGCAAUUGCUGGAAUUGUUACUGAGAGAGAUUAUCUCCGGAAAAUGAUUGUACAGGGAAGAUCUUUCAAGUCAACUAAAGUUGGUGACAUCAUGACUGAAGAGAAUAAACUGAUCACAGUGACUCCAGAUACCAAGGUUCUGCAGGCAAUGCAACUGAUGAUAGUACAACUUUGUUGGCUGUUUACUAGGACCACGUGGGAACUCCUUAAAAAGAGUUGAAGCUUCAACUCAAUGCAGGGUUUAUAUAUGAGGUCGAGGUUCAGUGAAGGAUUCUAUAAUGAAAGAAAGCUUAUGGGAUAAAUCUGGAUAUGAACACUUAAACGAACCGCUGCACAUACUAUUGGAGGCAGAAUCUACACCAUACAUAAUUGAUGCUCGCUUAAACAAAGCUGUUGCCACCCUUGAAGAUCUUCUGAAGCCUGUGGCAACAAAAACUUUCACUUAGGACGAGUCAAUGGACUACUACAAGAAGCAACAACUCAGGGAGUUGGCCAUACUCAACGACACGUUGAGGGAAGAGAAUCCACAAAUGAGCCCACAAAUGUUCAGGAAGUUGUCCCACAAGAAACAGUUGUAAAUAGAGUUUAUUUGUAUUGAGAUAAAUUUUAUUUGAAUAUGAGACAUGUUUCUUCUUUUAUGAUUAUAAUUCUUGUAUAAGUAACAUUUUGAAUGACAUUGAUAUGGGGAAUAUCUUUCUUUUGUGAUUA